rnacentral:rRNA from 1 species
CCUACGGGAAGCAGCAGUGGGGAAUAUUGGACAAUGGGGGCAACCCUGAUCCAGCGACGCCGCGUGUGUGAAGAAGGCCUGCGGGUUGUAAAGCACUUUUAGUGGGGAGGAAACGCUCAGACCUAACACGUCUGGGAACUGACUUAACCCAAAGAAAAAGCACCGGCUAACUCUGUGCCAGCAGCCGCGGUAAUACAGAGGGUGCAAGCGUUAAUCGGAAUUACUGGGCGUAAAGCGAACGUAGGCGGUUACCUAAGUCGGAUGUGAAAUCCCCGGGCUCAACCUGGGAAUUGCAUUCGAGACUGGGUGGCUAGAAUGCGGAAGAGGGAAGCGGAAUUUCCGGUGUAGCGGUGAAAUGCGUAGAUAUCGGAAGGAACAUCAGUGGCGAAAGCGGCUUCCUGGUCCAGCAUUGACGCUCAGGUUCGAAAGCGUGGGGAGCAAACAGGAUUAGAUACCCUGGUAGUCCACGCCAUAAACGAUGAGGACUAGACGUUGAGAGGGUUAGCCUCCCAGUGUCGCAGCUAACGCGCUAAGUCCUCCGCCUGGGGAGUCGGCCGCAAGGUUGAAACUCAAAUGAAUUGACGG